rnacentral:tRNA from 1 species
GUGCCUAUAGUUCAGUGGUAGAGCGCCAGAUUGUGGAUCUGGUUGUCGUCGGUUCAAUCCCGACUAGGCACC